GAUGAAGAACGCAGCGAAAUGCGAUAAGUAAUGUGAAUUGCAGAAUUCAGUGAAUCAUCGAAUCUUUGAACGCACCUUGCGCCCUUUGGCUAUUCCGAAGGGCAUGCCUGUUUGAGUAUCAUGAAAACCUCAACUCUCAUGGCUUGCCAUGAUGAGCUUGGACUCUGGGGGUCUUGCUGGCUUUACGGUCAGCUCCUCUCAAAUAAAUCAGCUUGCCGGUGUUUGGUGGGAUCACAGGUGUGAUAACUAUCUACGCUUGUGGUUUUCCGCCAGGUAACCUUCAGCAAUGGAGGUUCGCUGGAGCUCAUAAAUGUCUCUCCUCAGCGAGGACAGAUUUUGACCGUUUGAUCUCAAAUCAGGUAGGACUACCCGCUGAACUUAAGCAUAUCAAUAAGCGGAGGA
rnacentral:misc_RNA from 1 species